rnacentral:rRNA from 1 species
ACUCAAAGGAAUAGACGGGGGCCCGCACAAGCGGUGGAGCAUGUUGCUUAAUUCGAGGCAACGCGAAGAACCUUACCCAGGUUUGACAUGCUUUCGACUGGCGUUGAAAGACGCUUUUCCUUCGGGACGGAAGCACAGAUGCUGCAUGGCUGUCGUCAGCUCGUGCCGUGAGGUGUUCGGUUAAGUCCGGCAACGAGCGCAACCCGUGCCGUCAGUUGCCAUCAGGUAAUGCUGGGGACUCUGGCGGGACUGCCCGUGUCAAGCGGGAGGAAGGCGCGGAUGACGUCAAGUCCGUAUGGCUCUUACGCCUGGGGCUGCAAACGUGCUACAAUGGCCGGUACAACGGGGUGCCAUUCCGCGAGGAGGCGCGAAUCCUGAAAACCGGCCCCAGUUCGGAUCGCAGUCUGCAACUCGACUGCGUGAAGCCGGAAUCGCUAGUAAAGGGGCAUCAGCUACGGCUCCUUGAAUACGUUCCCGGGCCUUGUACACACCGCCCGU